AAAUGAAUAGACGGGGACCCGCACAAGCGGUGGAGCAUGUGCUUUAAUUCGAUGCAACGCGAAGAACCUUACCCGGUCUUGACAUAGUUCUGCUAGGCUUAGAGAUAGGCUUUUCAGCAAUGACAGGACAUACAGAUGCUGCAUGGUUGUCGUCAGCUCGUGUCGUGAGAUGUUGGGUUAAGUCCCGCAACGAGCGCAACCCUUGCCAAUAGUUGCCAGCGAGUAAUGUCGGGGACUCUAUUGGGACUGCCUUCGCAAGGAGGAGGAAGGUGGGGAUGACGUCAAAUCAUCAUGGCUCUUACGACCGGGGCUAGACACGUGCUACAAUGGCGAUUACAAAGGGCUGCUACUUGGUAACAAGAUGCUAAUCUCAAAAAAAUCGUCUCAGUUCGGAUUGAGGUCUGCAACUCGACCUCAUGAAGUUGGAAUCGCUAGUAAUCGUGGGUCAGCAUACCACGGUGAAUACGUUCCCGGGUCUUGUACACACCGCCCGU
rnacentral:rRNA from 1 species